GACGAACGCUGGCGGCGUGCUUAACACAUGCAAGUCGUGCGGUAAGGCCCUGCUUUGGUGGGGUACACGAGCGGCGAACGGGUGAGUAACACGUGGGUGACCUGCCUUCAGCUUUGGGAUAAGCCUGGGAAACUGGGUCUAAUACCGGAUAUGACCUUGGGGUGCAUGCCUUGGGGUGGAAAGCCUGUGUUGUUUGGCAUGGGGUGGCUGGGGAUGGGCCCGCGGUCUAUCAGCUUGUUGGNGGGGUGAUGGCCUACCAAGGCGACGACGGGUAGCCGGCCUGAGAGGGCGUUCGGCCACACUGGGACUGAGACACGGCCCAGACUCCUACGGGAGGCAGCAGUGGGGAAUAUUGCGCAAUGGGCGGAAGCCUGACGCAGCGACGCCGCGUGGGGAUGACGGCCUGG
rnacentral:rRNA from 1 species